CCUACGGGCGGCUGCAGUGGGGAAUAUUGGGCAAUGGGCGAAAGCCUGAUCCAGCCAUGCCGCGUGUGUGAAGAAGGCCUUCGGGUUGUAAAGCACUUUCAGUGGGGAAGAAAGCCUUGGGGCUAAUACCCUCGAGGAAGGACAUCACCCACAGAAGAAGCACCGGCUAACUCCGUGCCAGCAGCCGCGGUAAUACGGAGGGUGCGAGCGUUAAUCGGAAUUACUGGGCGUAAAGCGCGCGUAGGCGGUCUGAUAAGCCGGUUGUGAAAGCCCCGGGCUCAACCUGGGAACGGCAUCCGGAACUGUCAGGCUAGAGUGCAGGAGAGGAAGGUAGAAUUCCCGGUGUAGCGGUGAAAUGCGUAGAGAUCGGGAGGAAUACCAGUGGCGAAGGCGGCCUUCUGGACUGACACUGACGCUGAGGUGCGAAAGCGUGGGUAGCAAACAGGAUUAGAUACCCCGGUAGUC
rnacentral:rRNA from 1 species